ensembl:lncRNA
AUCAGCUCUCAGCUGGGAAGGCUUUUGAACUGUUUAUGCAGCAACUCGUUUGGACAAUGGCCUUCAGGCAGCAGUAAAACUCGCCUCCAGCAGGAACAUGAAUUCAUCAGCAUUGCACAGAAGAGUACAGCCCUCCCGAGUAUCUAUUCACUGGCAAGUACCACGGGGAACCGGCCACGGUGUGGUCACACGGGAUACUCUUGCUUGUAAUACUCUUCUGGAAAUUUCAGAGGAGACGAGACCUUUGCAAAGAUCAAUGAUAAAAUCUGGACCAAAGAUGGCUUGUCACAAUGUGAGGUCUUCAUUUCAGCUUCAUUUAUUUACUCUAAAUCUUACUAGAACAAAUAUAUGAGGCAGAAAAAGCAACUUCUGAGUCUAGUGGCUUAGUUGAUGUAAUUUUGAUAAAUUUACUGUCAAUCAGAAGAUUUUAGUGUGAAGUUUAAGGUAAUAAUCAGACUAAAAUCUCUCUAAAAUCUAGCGCUGUCACAUUGUGAAACUGAAUGAUUUGUAAAUUAUGCUUGGCGGGCCAUAUUAUACGCUUCAAUAGCUGUGGGCCAUUUGAAAUUCAUCCACGGGCUGGACUUUGGACACCCCUGCCUUAUCAUAUCUGAUAUUUUGAGAGACUUAGUGACUUUGUGAAUGUUUGAGUGUUUUUGCUCUAUAUUUCACCAAUAAAAAUGUCCAAAUAAAAAAGGGCAUCUCCCAGCAUGAUUCAGCAUUUUUGAAAU